GACGAACGCUGGCGGCGUGCCUAAUACAUGCAAGUAGAACGCUGAAGGAGGAGCUUGCUCUUCUGGAUGAGUUGCGAACGGGUGAGUAACGCGUAGGUAACCUGCCUGGUAGCGGGGGAUAACUAUUGGAAACGAUAGCUAAUACCGCAUAAGAGUAGAUGUUGCAUGACAUUUACUUAAAAGGUGCAAUUGCAUCACUACCAGAUGGACCUGCGUUGUAUUAGCUAGUUGGUGGGGUAACGGCUUACCAAGGCGACGAUACAUAGCCGACCUGAGAGGGUGAUCGGCCACACUGGGACUGAGACACGGCCCAGACUCCUACGGGAGGCAGCAGUAGGGAAUCUUCGGCAAUGGACGGAAGUCUGACCGAGCAACGCCGCGUGAGUGAAGAAGGUUUUCGGAUCGUAAAGCUCUGUUGUAAGAGAAGAACGAGUGUGAGAGUGGAAAGUUCACACUGUGACGGAAUCUUACCAGAAAGAGACGGCUAACUACGUG
rnacentral:rRNA from 1 species